ensembl:snoRNA
GGUCAGUGAUGAUUGGUAAAAGGUCUGAUCGCACAGAUAUCACAGUCCCUUCCUGCCCUCAACUCCCAGCAGCCCCUUUUCUCCUCCUUUCACACUUGAGUCAUGUGUAAGGGCCAGCGGAGCUGCUGACAUUGUGGGACCCCAUCAGCCUGGACCUCAGUGAGUGAUGGGGUCUCAGCUGACAGGUGUCCGACAGAACAGCUUUCCAGGAGUCAGAUGAGUGGCGGCCAUGGGUGUGACCGUGCAUGAUCUCAAGUUUUCAAUCUGAGACC